rnacentral:lncRNA from 1 species
UUCCGACCUAAAAAGUUCGAAUUCUGGAUAUUUUGGCUAAGUCCUGAGAGUUUCACUCUCGGGGACCGGUCCCUGGUGGGAGAGACCGGUCCCCCUGGCUGAGGUUUGGUUGUUGCGUAAUGCAACCAGUCCCUUGGCUUGAGGGACCGGUUCUCGUAUACGUGUUUUGCUAGAGGGCCCUAAGGGACCGAUCCCUGAGGGGAGAGACCGGUCCCCUAACCCGAAAACUGCCCAGACCCGGGCAGUGCACUGUUUUGAUUCUUGAGGGGCCUAAGAGGAUUUUGUUGCUGUAGAGGGCUUUUAGAGCCAUUUCCCCUCUCUCUUUCCCUCACUUCUCACUCUCUCACACCUCUAGAAAGAGAAGAAGAAGAAGAGGAAGAAGAAGGAGGAGAGGAAGAGCUUGCUUGAGGGAGCUUGGAGCAUCAACCCUUUCUCUCUUUCUUCACCAUUGGAGGCUUGGAGCUUGGACUUGGAGCUUUGUGGAGGAUCAAACUCCAAUCCUUGAGGGUUUUGAGCUUGGUUUGGAGCAUCCUAGAGGUAUGUGGCUAGUUUCUCUCCUCUAGAUCCUAGUUUUGGAGCUUUUUACUAGAUGAAACCCUAGAUUUGGAUUUUAGGGUUUAUUUUGGGGAUUUUCGAUUUGAGGGCUUUGAGACCUAAUUGAUGGGUUUAGAACCUUGGUUUAGGUUGGAUUUGAAGGACUCUAACUCCCAUUUGGAGAUCGAGAGAGCUUCCUUCACACUUGGUGAGUUUUUCUCCACCUUAGCUUGAGAUGGUUAAUGAUUGAGCUUUGUAUUGUUCGUAAGGUCCGUUUGACUCUUGUUCCUACAUCUUUAGGGUGCUAGGAGACUAGUGGGCAUCUUCGUCGGAGCUUACGAAGAGUUGCAAGAGUUGUGGUGGGUUUGACUACAUGAAAAUGGGGCAAAAUGACCCCUAUGCAUUUUGUACUUGUCGUAAUCUCAAUUUGACAUCAAAUCCAUGCUAAAUAGAAUUUAUGUGAAUUUUA